GACGAACGCUGGCGGCGUGCCUAAUACAUGCAAGUCGAGCGGAGCGGCGGACGGGUGAGUAAUGCCUAGGAAUCUGCCUGGUAGUGGGGGAUAACGUCCGGAAACGGGCGCUAAUACCGCAUACUAUCAGAUGAGCCUAGGUCGGAUUAGCUAGUUGGUGGGGUAAAGGCCUACCAAGGCGACGAUCCGUAACUGGUCUGAAAGGAUGAUCAGUCAAACCUGAACUGAGGCACGGUCCAGACUCCGACGGGAAGGAGCAGGGGGGAAUAUUUGACAAUUGGGGGAAACCUGGUCCAGCCAUGCCGCGUGUGUGAAGAAGGUUUUCGGGUUGUUAAGCACUUUAAGUUGGGAGGCGUUACCAACAGAAUAAGCACCGGCUAACUUCGUGCCAGCAGCCGCGGUAAUAC
rnacentral:rRNA from 1 species